GGUUGAUCCUGCCAGUAGUCAUAUGCUUGUCUUAAAGACUAAGCCAUGCAUGUCUAAGUACCAGCUUGUUACGGUGAAACUGCGAAUGGCUCAUUACAACAGUUAUAGUUUCUUUGGAGUUCACUUUUGCUAUGGAUAACCGUGCUAAUUGUAUGGCUAAUACACGUUUGAGGUUAUUUCAACCGCGUUUACUGGUUUUUCGUUGAUUUACAGUAACCUGCGAGUCGCUUUUUGCGAUAUUCCAUUACAGUUUCUGACCCAUCAGCUUGACGGUAGGGUAUUGGCCUCCCGAGGCAUCGACGGGUAACGGGGAAUUAGGGUUCGAUUCCGGAGAGCGAGCCUGCGAGACGGCUACCACAUCUAAGGAAGGCAGCAGGC
rnacentral:rRNA from 1 species